UCAAGCCUAGCAUCAGCAUGAGGAGCUCCACCUCCAGCACCAGAGUUCUGUAGCAUGAUACAUAUAGGAACAGCUGUGCUAACUAUGGUUGUGGCCCAAGUUCCUGUUCCCCAGUUGUAUACAGCUUUUUUUGUUUGUUUUGUUUGCAUGAGAUUUGCUUGCUAGUGUUUAUGUAGCCAGGUUAUGCCAGAUCUUUUUGCUGUUUCUUCUUUAUUGCUGCUUGGAAAACUUCUUGUUGGGAAAACUGUGAUUUUUUUUUUUUUAUUAUUUUUUCCAGUUGUUGACCAGGUCAUAGGUCUUCAGUUCCUCUGGCACAGUCUUUUGAAGGUGUAUACAAAUAGGAGAAAGGUAAAAGGAGAUGAUUAACCCAGCAGAGGUGACCCAGCAGCAUGUGACCCAGUGCAUGUUAUGAGGACAAAGAGACCUGAAAUGGUGGUGGCAAAAGCUGAGAGUGUCAAUAGGGGCAGCUGUGUCUGCUUUCUUCACUAAGAGUCUUUGCCAUUGAUUCAGCGUUGCUGCAGGGCUUUAGACAGCUCGGUUUCAUGAAAGUCAGUGCCAUGCCAAAUAUUGAAAGGUGCUGCUGCAGAUGUCUGCUCACCAAGGACACCAAUUAACUUCCCAUAAGAAGUUAAUUAACUACUCCAACCAUAAGAAAACACCUAGCAUGGGGAAUUAAAUGGCAUUUCCAGCAAUCUUCUAGGAUGAUUCGAGACAUGUUCCGAGGAAGGAAUCCUUUGUACCAAAAGAAUCUGGAUAUAGCACAUGUGUUUGCCUGCUGGCAUCCCAAGAAGUGUUACCUCUCUCCCAACAGAAGGCUCACACUUUAUAGCUCCUGGAAAGUAACAUGUUUGCCUUCAAUAAAUAACAUGCAUUUUAAAGAAAACAUCUGGAUAAAAAUUGUGCUUGGCUUUUUAAAAUAUAGAAUUAAAAAGAAAUCGUAUUAAAGAAAAGUAGUGCAAUAAUAGUAGAGCUUGCUAUCAUAGAAAAAAUCAAUUUAACUUAUAUAGGUGGACUUCUAUGGGAUACAUACUAUAAAAUCACACUACAGAAUUUUCCAAAUAGAGAACACAGGGACCACUGAAGGAGUGGUAGAAGAUAUUUCAUUAAUGAAACAAAGGCAGCAAAUAGAGAUUAAAAAAAAAAAAAAAGAAAAAGUGUAGGUGUAGAGAUUUUAUUACAGUGCUUAGCAAUGUAGUCAUCAAUAACAGCAGAAAAUGCUAAGGGAAGGAACGUAUGGAAGCAUUAGAAACAGGAUCAAGUUAUAAGCUCUGGGAGAAAACAGAAUCCAGGAUAUAGGGAGGAGAUACCUAGGAAUGGUAAUGUCAGGAAAGGUCCUGAAGAAAUACAAACCAUCAAAUUAGUUAUCAGUCCAAGAAAGAGCAGCUUUUACAGGAAUAGAAAUAUUAACAGAACGUAUUAAAAAUGUUUAUUUUUAUAUAACACAUUUCUAGGCACCUAGUUAACAUAAUAUACAGAUGGACACAAGAAUGUUUAGUGACGGGUAAAAAUAAUAACUGAGGGGCUAGUUUACAAGAAAGUCAAAGUCCUAUAACAUGGCUGAAAAGUAGCUAACAGGGCAUACACUACUAGUCUAUCACUAAAGUAUGAAGUCAACCAGGAGCACAGCAAAGUUUUAUAGCAUAAUAAAAAGAGUUGUAAAAAGGAGCAUAGGGAUCAAAUUAUGAAAAGAAAAAAAUUGACUGAAUAAUCAAAGGGGAGAUUUAUUAUCCAUGGGAAUGAUUUCACAAAAGAAGCAAUAGAUGUUCUGUUGCUAGGAAAAUUUAAAUAAAAGUGGACAAAAUACUGGUGUAUUUACAACAGAGAGAAGACUUGUAAAAAUAUAGAUUGAAUGGGUUAAGAGUUACAUAAUUCAUGUUUGUAUUCUAAAUUACACUGGCAUACAUAAGUGACUGUUCUGUGUCAGUCUGCAAAAUUGCCUGCCUAAAACAAGCUGAUCAGAGUCUACUCACAGAAUCUGUUCUUUGAACUAAGGCGGUUGUAUUAAGAUUUUAGUAGUUAUUUAUUACUUCUCUUUCUACACAUCGUCAUGUACACAUCUACCCUUGCCUGUCCACUGAGGCAGACAUUCCUUACAUGUUUUUUGGGAAAUAGAAUAUAUGAAAAAUAACUCAGGGUUUAUGAAAAUCUUUACCACAACCAUUUAAAUGUUUUUGUGUUUUGUUUUGUUUUGUUUUUCACAUGAUUUCCACAACAGUCACAGUGCUGUCAUGUGCAAUGCAUAUGAGUCAUAAAUAUGUAUUUUGAAAAAUAAAAGCAUGACUUUGGAGAAGAACUAGCUGAGCCAUCUAUUCUACUCUAGUCCAAAUCUAGUCCAAUUCCCACAAUUGAAAAAAAUAAAAUAAAAACAGACUUUAUUUUAUGAAAAUGCACAAAGCCUCUGCUCCAGACUCCCCAUUAACAUCCUGCAAAAUACAUGCCAAAACUUUAUGAUACACUUGAGGCCUGGACAGGAAAAGAAAGCAAUAUGAAUGGAGAAAGGAGUGUCAGGGCAUGGCCAGUUCCCCCAGCUUUCACUGAGCAUCCAUUAGGCUCAGGUGAGGAGAACACAUAUGAGCUCACUUUGUAGCUCUAAGUUUUCCAUGGUAACAAAAAUGGCAGAUAUCCUUUGUUAGGACUCGAAUGGUUUUACUUCAAAUAGCAAUGAUGAUGUCUUUCUCACACAGUUCCUUUUAUAUAUUUUCAUAUUUUACAAAGCAGUGUCCUUAUUUUAGAUUGAAAGCUGAAAUAUCCAAAUUCACAUACAGCAGUUCAAAAGUAUUGUCAGGAACAAACUUAGGUCUCUUGGAUCAGUUUUCAACAAUGGUAAAUUGUUCUGGUCCCACAGAGACAGCAGAGGUAUAAAACAAAUACAGUAAUUUAUAUCAAGUGAGGAUCAGUGUCAGGUCUUGCAGUCCCAUGUCCUAUUCACUAGCACUUGUUGCCUCACUUAAUGACAGCACUCUCCAGUAUGUUUAGUCUCUAAGGAAACAUGUAAAAAACAUAUGCUACUCCUGCCUGUACUAUAUUUGUUUUGCAGACAGAGAGCUGUAGUCUUCAGGGCUGCUAAUGCUUAUAUAGCAUUAAAAUUCACAACAGAAAGUCUCUUCUGCUCCAUUUUGCUCCUCAUCACUCUU